UUCCCUGUGGCUCAGUUGGUAGAGCAUGGUGUUUGCAACGCCAGCAUGGUGUGUGCAAUGCCAGGGUUGUGGGUUCGAUUCCCACGGGGGACC
rnacentral:tRNA from 1 species